rnacentral:tRNA from 1 species
AUUUAUGUAGUUUAUUUAAAACAUUACAUUUUCACUGUAAAAAUAAAAUCCAUUUUCAUAAAUA